UGACUCUCAUCGGCAGCAGGGCUCCUGGAAGUCCUGCUUCUCAUUACUACUGUGGACUGGAGCCUCCCCAGAGCUCCCUGGGGUCCUUGGCCUGGGUGAAGAUGGAUGAAGAUCAGAUCCAGCAGCUGUGGGUAGAGGAGGGUCCAGGAAGCAGGCACAAAGAGAGGUAAUUCAUCCACAUGGCAAAACAGAGCAUGAUCUGGGGAAGCUGGAGGCCUCCCAAACAGGGCCUCAACUGUCAGAACAUGUAAUAAACAUAACCAGCCAGAGGACUGAGGGGAGGCAGAAGGCACACAGUUAACCACUGCAGCAGAAAGUAGCAGAAAUGAAGGUAUGCUCGCCCUGUACCUACUUUUCAUAAACCACCACUCUCUUUUUUUCUAACAAACGUUUGAAUGCUAAACACACUACUAUUGCUGAUACUUUCCAAGGGUGUAAUGUUUCUUUAAAUUGUCAUAUGGAGAGGCAGUUUAGUGUAAUAGAAAGGACAUAGGCUAUAAAGCCAAUCAAAUCCUUGUCCUGCUACUUAAUAGCUGUGUGAC
rnacentral:lncRNA from 1 species